rnacentral:rRNA from 1 species
CACGUAGGGUGCGAGCGUUGUCCGGAAUUAUUGGGCGUAAAGAGCUCGUAGGCGGUUCGUCGCGUCGGCUGUGAAAUCCCGGAGCUCAACUCCGGGUCUGCAGUCGAUACGGGCGGACUCGAGUUCGGCAGGGGAGACUGGAAUUCCUGGUGUAGCGGUGAAAUGCGCAGAUAUCAGGAGGAACACCGGUGGCGAAGGCGGGUCUCUGGGCCGAUACUGACGCUGAGGAGCGAAAGCGUGGGGAGCGAACAGG